rnacentral:rRNA from 1 species
GCCUACAGCCAUGCUACCCUGAACAAGCCAGAUCCCAUCUGAUCUCAGAAGCUAAACAGGGUUGGGCUUGGUUAGUACUUGGAUGGGAGACUACCUAGGAAGACCAGGUGCCGUAGGCA